CAGCUAUGAUGAAUUUUAUUCCAAUCAUUCGCAGUUUCCACCAUAAAAACUUCUUAGUCUUAAUGAUGGCUGAAGAUCCUUCCUUGGAUGUCUGAGCUG
rnacentral:snoRNA from 1 species